rnacentral:rRNA from 1 species
UGGGGAAUCUUGGACAAUGGGGGCAACCCUGAUCCAGCCAUGCCGCGUGAGUGAUGAAGGCCUUAGGGUCGUAAAGCUCUUUCGCCUGUGAAGAUAAUGACGGUAGCAGGUAAAGAAACCCCGGCUAACUCCGUGCCAGCAGCCGCGGUAAUACGGAGGGGGUUAGCGUUGUUCGGAAUUACUGGGCGUAAAGCGCACGUAGGCGGACCAGAAAGUUGGGGGUGAAAUCCCGGGGGCUCAACCCCGGAACUGCCUCCAAAACUAUUGGUCUAGAGUUCGAGAGAGGUGAGUGGAAUUCCAAGUGUAGAGGUGAAAUUCGUAGAUAUUAGGAAGAACACCAGUGGCGAAGGCGGCUCACUGGACAGGUAUUGACGCUGAGGUGCGAAAGCGUGGGGAGCG